rnacentral:tRNA from 1 species
GUGACUGUAGCUCAGUUGGUUAGAGCGACAGUUUGUGGAACUGUAGGUCGCGGGUUCGAAUCCCGUCAGUCACCCCA